AACGAACGCUGGCGGCAGGCCUAACACAUGCAAGUCGAACGCUCUAGCAAUAGAGAGUGGCAGACGGGUGAGUAACGCGUGGGAACCUACCUAGUGGUACGGAAUAGCUCAGGGAAACUUGGGGUAAUACCGUAUGCGCCCGAAAGGGGAAAGAUUUAUCGCCAUUAGAUGGGCCCGCGUAGGAUUAGCUAGUUGGUGAGGUAAUGGCUCACCAAGGCAACGAUCCUUAGCUGGUUUGAGAGAAUGACCAGCCACACUGGGACUGAGACACGGCCCAGACUCCUACGGGAGGCAGCAGUGGGGAAUCUUGGACAAUGGGCGCAAGCCUGAUCCAGCCAUGCCGCGUGAGUGACGAAGGCCUUAGGGUUGUAAAGCUCUUUUGGCGGGGACGAUAAUGACGGUACCCGCAGAAUAAGCCCGGCUAACUUCGUG
rnacentral:rRNA from 1 species